ACGUAGGUGGCGAGCGUUGUCCGGAUUUACUGGGCGUAAAGGGCUUGUAGGCGGUCCGUUAAGUCUGGUGUGAAAUCUCCCGGCUCAACCGGGAGGGGUCAUCGGAUACUGGCGGACUAGAGGGGGGUAGAGGAAAGCAGAAUUCCUGGUGUAGCGGUGAAAUGCGUAGAUAUCAGGAGGAAUACCAGUGGCGAAGGCGGCUUUCUGGGCCUACCCUGACGCUGAGGAGCGAAAGCGUGGGGAGCAAACCGGAUUAGAUACCCGGGUAGUCCACGCCCUAAACGGUGGAUGCUAGGUGUGGGGGGUGUCGACCCCCUCCGUGCCGCAGCUAACGCUUUAAGCAUCCCGCCUGGGGAGUACGGCCGCAAGGCUA
rnacentral:rRNA from 1 species